rnacentral:lncRNA from 1 species
UUCUAGAAGAUCAAAUUCAAAUUCAGGCCUCAAACAUAACUCUUCUAUUUUGUUUGUGGUCUUCUUCAAAGUCUUCAUACGACCCCUAACAUGUUCAGUUGUUACCUCGAUUCGUAAGUCUUUCUUUAUUCUUGCUGCAACUUCAGCAUGUGCACUUUUAUUAAAUCCUCCAUCGGACAUACGACCCCCAUUUAUAGUAAUCUCUAACAACUUAGCACACAUAUUCAUAUCCAUUGCGGUGGUCCACCUAAUGGACCACUGGGAGGUUGACCAAGGUAUAUCCAUAUCAAAACUGUUCCAUACCAUGAUAAAUAUUAAACAUACGAUUUCAUUAGACAAAAUAUCUGUCAUAAUUCAUUACAAACAUAAUUCAUAAUUAACCAAAACGACAUUACAAAAAAAUCUUAUCACAAAAUAAGGGUCCACAUUAAUUCUUGAACAAAACAAGAAGCUUGUUCAUAUACGGGAGCCAUUCACCACGGAAGCGGCUAUUAGGAGCAUUUGCCUCCCAAAACUCUUUUGUCGCGAUCACCCGUUCAAGGUGGGCAUCCCAUUCAAACCCACCAAUGCUUAACAACCCCCAAAUUUGCAAGUAAGUAUAGAAAUAAUAUCUCACUCUAUCUCGUACUUCCUCUAUCGAGACCAACAUAGAAGUUGCUUCCAAAACACGAAACACUACUUCUACGGGCAUAUGUUCACAAAAGGUAAUCCCUCUUUAUCUUUGAAAUCGACGAGGGUGUCAAGCAACACCAUGUCCAUAUUAUGGUACCAUGUAACCUUGGAACAGCCUUCCGCUCCCAUUAUAGAUAUGACUUAACUAAAAACAAGGACAAAAAAGAGUUAGUUGGUGCUGCAAGGGUGUUUGUACAUAAAUACAUAGUACACCAAAGAUGGUCAACCCUGCAACAGGUCCAACCAACCCCCAAUACUACCAAAACUAUUUAUACCAACCACAUAUAUAAAACAUAAAAUACAACAUGAUUAUGCAGUGAAACUGUAUCGAAUUCACAGUUAUAUAGAAACCCCCCCAAAAAAUAUGCAACAUAAUACUGCCCAAAAAACUUACACAAAUAAUUAUCAACAAUACCAUUAUGAAAGCAUUAUAAGCCUGUUAAAAAAAACUUGAAAUAUUCUCAAGUACGCAAGAAUUCUACGACAUCAUCAACAAUAACAGAAAGAUGUUUUUCUUCAGUAAACAAUCAAACUAGACUUGAUUCCUAGGUCUAGACUACGUACACCAAACAAACUGACAUAAAAUAUUCCCAUAUUCACUUGUUAUAGGCACUGAGCUUUCUCAAAAGCCAUUCCAUCUUAUAUUCCUUCUCAAUCCCCAUAAACAUUUCCAUCAAACCAGGGUUAUCUCCCAAAAAGUCCAUUCCUUUAAAAUAUAGAUCUCUAUCCCCACCAGUAAUCAAUUGAAGUGUACUUGACAGAUCUCCAAUCUUGGGCUUCGACAGACUUGUAGCAAUCCUUUCCACAGCUGCAGUCAACCCUUGGAAGGAUGGGGGUUCAGGAAUGUCUGACAAGUUAAACUUUGGCUUCCUACGCUUGGGCAAAAUAGGUACCCCACUGCUACUACCUCUGCUAGCAUCACCACAGUUUGCAGAACUUUGGAGUGGCAUUUCACUUGCGCGAUUCGGUGUUGAGCUACCAGGUGUGUUAGAAGCAAACUGGGUUUCCAUCCCUUCCAGGUUGAUAUCUCCAUUUCCAAAAGUCUCAUUUUCAACAUCCUCUCUGUCGCCUACAUUUGGUAAGUUGUGAAUGUCAUGCAAGAAAAUCAACAUAAGAAAAAAGGUCGAGGCUGCGUAAAUGUUUUAUACCAAUCUGUGAUUCCUCAGGCGGAGUUUGAGGGUCACUGCAAGUAUAAUUCAGGUCACCAUUUGCAGCGUCAUCACCCACCAAAUAAGCCAUUUGAUCAAAAUAUGGCAAUAUUUUGCCAUUGUAACUCUUAGCCUCAGGAUGCCCCUACAAUUACCAGUCUAUUAAUCCAAGAAUACCACAAAAUAAAAUAUAAUACCAACAAGAACAAACCACUGCAUUACCAACAUAUAUUUUUCCCAUGCAUUGGGAUCUGCAUCAAUGCACUUUGAAUCUGCAUUCCACUUAAAACCAAAUCCACUUUGAUGUAACAAAGCCUUGGCAAUAUGGUAGUUUUUUUUCAGUGUUUUCAUCCUUGACCGCACAUUUUCAGCGUUCAUUCUCAUACCAAGCUUUGUGUUAACAGCCAAGGCAACCUUGUUGUAUGUUUCACUCCUAAAACCAUUGUCUGCACGCCUACCACACUUAGCAACCUCUUCUGAAAGAACUUCAAGAAAAAUAUCCAUCAUCUUUGGGGACCAUCUUGUUUGGUGUUUUGAUGGUGGUGGUGGUGGUGGUGGUGGAAGGUUAGGUGGGAAAUAUGGUUCAACUUCUACAACAGCUGGAGCAGAUACAGUAACUACAACCGGUUCUUUGCCUUUUCGACUUCUCUUCUUUGGUGCAGUCGACAUUUCUAAUACUGGGAAUUUUUUGUUUUAUAAAAUUUAGGAAUACAUAAAAUCUGGUCAUUUUAAGAGAUAAAAUAGUCGGAAUUCCAAGACAAUUGUACACAAAAACAUUUCAAGUAACGUAUACAAAAAAUAGGAGUACUUAAACACAUUUUAAUAGAUAAAAUAGUCGGAAUUGAGAAAAUUGUAUGAAUACUUCAACAUAAUAACUAUGAAUAUGGAAAGUACUUCAAAACCAUAAAACAAGAAACAAGGAAAAUUAAAGAUCAUCAUCAGAAUCAUCGUGAAAUUCCUGGUAUGCAUUCCACAUCUGCACACGUAAUUGAUCCCUCCAAUUGGUCCAACUUGUCGUGGAAUGCAUAUUUAAACCAGGGCCAUCGUUCCACUGAGCUUGUUCAACACCUUCUUCCCCAUCGUCUUCAUUGUCUGAAUCGGAUGUAGGACCAUCAGGAUCAAACUCAUCAUCAGGGUCUACGUCUUUCAGGAAAUUAUGCAAAGCAACACAGGCUAAUAUAAUCUUUGAAUGACCGCGGAUGUUAUGGUGUGGGGAGUUUCUAAGGUACGCGAACCACUUUUUCAAUACUCCGAUAGCCCUUUCUACAACAUUCCGCAAAGAUGAAUGUCGGAAGUUGUAAAGUUCAACACUAUUUUGAGCGACAUUUCUGCCAACCUCUUUCAGGUGAUAUCGUGCAUUACGGUAAGGGUAAGGAACCCUGGCACUAAACCGAAUCCAGCAUCUCCAAGAUAAUAUUUACCCCCUAGGAUCAAUAUGGACUGCUUAGAACAUAUAUUGGACAAAGGUGAAGACAUACAUUAGGAAGAAAACAUUUACCAGGGGGUAUUUCAAGCCUAUGACCACGUCGGCUAACAACACAUCGUAACAAACGACCAUCGUGAGCGGAACCUUCCCAACCAGUUAGAACGUACGUGAACUUCAUACUAAAAGUGCACGCAACCAAGACAUUUUGUGUAAGCUCCCCCUUUCGGUUACGAUACCUAGCCUGAUUUCUUAAAGCAACAUUUACCUUGAAAUGUGUCCCAUCAAUUGCACCCACAGCAUCCUAGAGAAAAAUCAAUUUUUUAGAUUUUUUGUUUUUUGAAAUGUAUGUAUUAUAAAAAACAAUUAUUUGUUUUGUCAAAAACAUUAAUUAGAUUGCUUAACCUUAAAAUAAUGGUGCCAGUUGUGGUAUGUUCCAUUAUCUGCAAGAGGGGAGUUCUCUGGCGUUGCAGUGGUCACAACCUCUGUGUAUAAGCGAAGGACCGCCUUGAGAACCAAAUGGAAGAAACGAUUAACAGUUUCUGUAGAUCGAUAAAAUGAAUGUGCCGUUCUUCGAUUUCGCUCAUCAUGCCGUACUGUUAUAAGGAAGAUGGCUACUUGUUCCUCAACUUUGAGAUAUCUGGAAGACCUUAAACCUAGUGUACGUAGUCUACGACACAAUGAAUGGAAUGCAAACCGAUUCAUUCUAAGCUGGUGGUGACAGACCCUAUCAUUCUGCAUGUAAAAACUUUCCAAAAUCUGUCUCCGCAAACCAGUUCGAUUAAUACGAGGUGCUCCAGGGGGUCUGUAAUUGUUCAGUACCAUGGUACACCACCAUUGGUAUGCCAUAACCAUAUAUGCAAUAACAAUGACAACUACAUCUAUCAAUAUCAUACGUUCUUCCUCGUUCGACAUUCUACAAAACCCCAAGACUAUUACAGUUCGAUGAAUACAAGGAAAGAUUGUAUAUUCCAUAUAAACCAGAUAAUAUAUUAUAUAGAAAAUCAUAAUGUAAUUACAUAAACUAAAACCAUAAUCAUUCGACAUGUCCUAAAUUCGAUUACAUUUGCAAAAACUUCACAUAACAAACAACAACUUGACCAACACAGCAAUCACAACCAUCAACAACAGGACAACCAACUUCUUCACCAACCACCAACUGUCAUUGACAACAAUUGUAUCAUCUAGAUUGGGAAUACUUGUUAUAGCCGAAGUUGAUGUCCCACAUGACAUUGUACAUGUACUGUGAUGGGGUAAUGCUUGGGAACAAGCAAGCUGUACCUCUUCAUCCAAGCUUUUAUAAUACGCCCAGAGACGUCGAGCUUGUUCGAAGGAAGUACACCCCUCCCAAACUGCCCCUGGAUAUUGAUCCACCUGGCUACUACAUUGUCCCCAGGUGGUAUAAAUGCCAGGAUUUCGUACAUAACGAACUGAGAAACUACAAAUAGUGCUAUCAACUACCUGCACUCACUGCGAGUUGAUACUCCUGGUUAUCUCUAACACCUUGACUUCACCAGAGCACCUUGAUGUACGCACAAGACACUCGACUUCUUGAUGAACACACAAGAAGACUCGAAGCCGAAUUCACAAUAACUCUUGAAGAUCACAAAGAUAUGAAUUUAGAAAAGGGGGAAGAAAGGGAAUUGAGUUCAAUAGCCACAAACACUUUCAAUAUCAAAAACCUAACCAAAACACAUGAACUAGAAGAAGAAUGGACGGCCAAAGAACUAACUUGUUCUAUGGAAGAGAAACCCUAUUUAUACUUUGGGUUGAAAACCAAGGAAAAUGGGCCGAAACAGUGCAAACCGACUUUGGACGUUCGUACGUCGAUAUGACGUUCGAACGUCGUCACACAAGAAUAAGCCUGCUGCCUAACAUGACGUACGAACGCUCUAACUCGGUACGUACGUCUCCAUACGAAAACACGUCUGCUGCCUACUUGGACGUACGAACGUCCUAACUGCGUACGUACGUCCUGACCAAAAGAUGUUUGCUGCUUCAGUGGACGUACGUACGUCCUAAUCCGGUACGUACGUCCAAAACCUAAUAACUUUUCCUGGACAGACCUAAGAGACACAAGGACACGAGACGACCAUGCGUACAUCUUGAUUUUCCUAACAAUGAAUUCAAGGCGAGAUAACCAAAGACACUUUGUCACAAAAUUGAUGUCAAACCACUUCAUGCCGGUUUCAAUCUCCCCCUUUGACAUUGAUUUUGUGACAAAAACCUAUGACUCUAAUAGCACUUAUAAAACGUGCUUACAAUCCCAAACCAUGGCAUUUAUAAAACAUGCCUACAAAAUCACUCAAAAUAGAAACACAUAACAAGUCACCAAUUCUUGUUAUUCAGCUUUAGGAAGAUGCUUUAACCAUCAGAGAUCGAACGGAAGCAACUAGAAAUUUCCGAAGCAAUCAAGGAUUCAACAGAAGUUCCUUCGAGCAACUCCCCCAUACUUCAUGAGCUCCAAAAUAUUUUUGACACUCGAACUCCCCCAUAACAAUAUAACGUCUAAAAUCAUCAACACGUUCACUCCCCCAUACGUGUAGCAUACCUGAAACAUGACCCAAAAAUAACCUAACAACAAGAAGACGAUUGUUAGUAAUUAGAGUCAUAAAUCUCCCCCUUUUUGUCACAACAAGUGAACAAAAUAACCAACCAACAAAGGAAAAGAACAACAAUAAACCAAUAACCGAGAAGAAGAAAUCAAUACCAAACAAAGAAUACAAAACAGAGAAAAAUAUAAAACUAAUCCAACUGUUAAAAGUUCAGAAAGUCAACUAAUAACCAAACAGAGAAAUCCAUAAACAUAAAAGACAAAAUGACAAAAACAUAAGGCUUGAGUUAACGAAUUCGAAAAACUCGUUCCCAAUGACCUAGAGGAAGCUUGGAGAAGUAAGCUUCCGCACGAGCCGAAGGUCUAUUCCACCGAGCAAUCACAUGAUCAUCAUAAUCCUCCAGCCAUUCACUCUUACAAAACAACUCCUCAAUUCUGCUGUCCAAGCCACAGUCGGUAAGCGGAGCAGCAAGUCCUGGAACCUUCGGAUAACCAACCAACUCCAAGAUGUGAUUUUGAAGAUGUCCCGGUAAUCUCUCCCAAUGAUUGACACGAACCAAACAAGGAUUAAGAAAAGGACGAUGAAUAUAGUCAUAUCCAUGGGGAACGCGACAUAAACGACAAACCUUAGCAUUGUUCUUGUACUCCAUCACCAUGAACGACACAUAACCAACAGUCGGAACAAAAAUUCCAUGAAGUUCAUAUUCUGCCAUAGAAGAUUCUGAAGAACAAAGAGAGAACUAGCAAGAAGUAAGAAGACACAAUAGGAGUGAAGGAGGAAAAGACUCCCCUAUAUAUAAGAAAAAUAAGAGUAAACCUAACAGGGGCCCAAUAAGAGGGGUCCAUUACCUAAUUAGCAGAAAUUUACUGCAAAACAAAAAAAACUUGAACUAAUAUUAAAAUAGCAAUAUCCAAUAACAUGCACAAUAUCCAAAAAAAACAAACCGAUUAGCAAAAAAAACAAAGCUAAGUACAAAAAUGUGGAGAGUAAACCAGAAAACCAACUACUCGGAGUCCGAGUCACCAUCACUGUGUUCACCAUCACCCUCGUCCUCACUCUCUGAGUCAUCACCAUCACUCUCACCUGGAACUGGAGGCACCUCUUCCGGAUACGGAGGCAAGUCUGUGGGAGUGAAGUCCAGCUGUAGAUGACGCAUCUGAGCAAUGUUCAUCGCAUGAAUAUCACUGAUCAUGACAUCAUGACGAGAGAGAAUGACCCCAAAAUGAUCUAACCGAGCGUCCAUAUGAUCCUGAUGACGUCGGAGAGAGGAAACCAGAGCAUCAAUUGCUGCAACAGCCCGAUUGCCCCUAGCAGAGGCUGGGAUGGGGCGUCCAGAGGUCAAAGCCCGAUCAAAAUCAUCAUGGCGAACAAGAGCCCUGCCUCCCCAAAUGAGGUGAUACGUCAGACGCGCACCCACGGACUCAAAAGCCAACUUUCGAGACUGACAGCCCUUCUUGAUGGCGUUGACCCAAUCGUGGCCAACAAACUUUGGAGGGCUCACCCCCAUAUACUGUCCCUGAAAACCCAAGUGCUUGAGUAUAGUCAUUAUAAAGCUAGGGAAAGGAAGAGUACCCUUAGCUGCAUCGAUCUGAAGCAUUCGAGUGUAGAUGACCUCAGAGAGAUGAAGAUGGUGCACCGACAUACAGACCACCAAUUUGACCAUGUCGUCGGUCAUGAUAAUCUUAUUGCCCUUGGAGGGGUAGAUGUUGGAAUGGGCAACCAUGUGCAAGAGGAUGGCGCUGUAGUGCUUGGCAUGAUACCUUUUCGUGACACCAUCAAUAAACAUCUGCUGAACCUGAUUGACAAAGUCAAUUUGAAUCGUAUCCGGAACGGGCCAUCUGACAGAAACAACAUCUUCAGGAAUAAAGUCACCAUCAAUACCCAACGCCUCGCGUAUCACCUUAGGAGAAAUGGUGUAUCGCCGACCCUCAAUCAAGACCGAAAAACUCGAGCGAUUCUGCGAGGGUGUCUUUGUCUCAUAGAAGGCUAUCGUAUGCUCAACCGAGUACUUGGUGAUUGGUUGAGCCAAUUCCGAGUCUCAAAGAAGAGGGAUAUGUUGCCAAGUUGAGAAGUCCCAAGAGGAGUAGCAGCGAUGUCUGCCAAGUCAAAGAAUCGCUCAGGAACAAUGGCUUUUGCCCGAGGAUGAGCACCAAGAGAUGUGGAAGGAGGUAACAAGGCCAGAGUGGAGCUUCGACCCCGUGGAGCACGAGAAGAUGAUGCACCCUUAGACGCGGAUGCCGUGGAGACAGGAGUGGUGCGUGCGCGCUUAGAAGCCAUUGUCUACACAAACACAAAUCAAAAAUGUAAGAGAAUUGACAGAAAAACCAAUAAAAAAUCAUUGAGGCAUUUCAACAAACACUUGGUGUGCAGAAACGUGAUACAUGUCAUGGACAACAAUUGAGAAUGUCAAAACGCCCAAACACACAACCAAUUACACCCAACAAAAGAGUAGAAGUGACAAGAAACAGAGAGAGCCAAGUUUGCCACCAACUUCAAGGAGAUGAAGAGAAAUACUAACCAACACAAUCAAUAUAAAUCAAAACAAACAAUUCCCAAAAAAAAAUUUAAACUAACCAUGCAAUUCAACAAAACUAGUAGAACAAUCAUGCAAUACAAAGAGAGGAAGGAGAGAUAGAAAGAGAAGAAUGUGGGAAGAAGUCGAGUUACUUACUUGAUAAAGAACAAAGAGUACACCAAAAAACAAAUUGCUUGAGAGAAGCAAUAAACAACCACCAAGGAAGAAGAAGAAGAGAAAGACCAAAGAAAAGACGUUGAGGGAAGGUGGAGACUUCCUAUGUUCGUGCAAGAGAGAAGAGAGGGGCACGAUUGAUGUAACAGUAAGCCUUUGGUUCAAAAAAUUUGAAUUUAAACGCAAAUGGGCCGGACUGUAUGACAGACGUUCGUACGCUCUUAAGACGUUCGAACGUCGGGACCCAAAAACCAAACAUCUGGUAAAGAUCACGUUCGUACGUCCUAGGAACGUUCGUACGUUUAAAAAAAGAUCUGCCCACCUAAACGUACGAACGUCUCGAAAGCGUUCGUACGAACCCCCUUUUUUUUUUUUUUUUUUUUUUUUAAACCAUGUAUAUAAAUAAUAAAAAAAAUGAAGAACCACCCAACCAGUCAGAUAAUAAACCACAGAACUACCGUUGAGAGACAUCACAAGAAAUUCUACUUAUCAUAAGGAUUCCAAUAACAGCCGAAUACAGCAUAAACAACCCUCAACCUUAAGACAACGCAAAAUCGAAGAGCGACAUUAUACACCAUGACAUGGUAGUUACUAGAAUGAUGCAAACAUGUAGAAGAACCUGAUAGACCAAUACCAACCUCCGAAAACAAACUAAAGACAUGAUCAUGGAAUACCUUGAAAUUCUUUUGCAAGUAGACACAGAAAAACUGGUAUUCUUCUUGUCUUCCAACUAGACAAGUAUGACAGACACUUAACAUCCGUUUCUUUUUUUUUUUUUUUUUUUUUUUGUUAAAAAAAAUGCCAUUCCCGUGUGGGAGUAUAAAGUAUCUCCAUCUUUUACCAGAACACGAGGGUAGGGUGUAGCCUACAUCUUUUCGGCAAAACACACUCAAGAAGUGCAAUACCAUGAUAACGUGCAACACAAGAACUAACAUCUCCUGAGUGCAUCCGUCAGAGCAUGACCCUCACAGCGCCAACGGGUUCUUAGCCAAAUGAGUAUGCUCUCAAGACAUUCAAAUGGCUGGGGAUUUUGUGAGUAAUUGACCACUUACAAGAGGUGAGAAAAUAAAGAAAAUAAAAACAACGAUCAUGAAAAGCAACCAUGGAAAAACUGGAGGUAUACAUGUAUUGAAAAGGUCAAGCUAACCACAUUGACAUGCAUCAUGCAAGAAACUACCAAUACGAAGAGAGUAUAAUGUAACCCUACAACUAUGCAUGACACAAAGACAGUUGAGAACGCCAAACUAGAAACAUCUGUAAAAUGGAAUCCACACAAUAGAGAAUGUAGUAUGUCCUCAAUACCAACAACAACAAUAAAUGACCAAACCUAAACAUCCUAAACACAGACAGUUCCAAUGAACACAUUAGGCAUAUGAAUGCGGAAGAGGUGUAGUGACAAUGAAGCAGUUAUCAGAUGAGCGACUACCAGAUAACACCAAGAUAUGAUUGGAAUCAAAAACAUCACAUCGAUUAUCCUCAAACACAACCUUAAAUUUAGCAUCACAUAACUGACUAAUACUCAAUAGAUUGGACUUAAGACCCUUAACAAAAAGAAGCUCAUGACUAUUGAGCGAUUCAACCUCAGAAAAGUUACCUUUACCUUCAACCGGAAGCAUUUUACUAUUACCAAACCUAACCUUACCUCCAUAACCAAGAGUCAGGUUAUCAAUCAGAGUCUUAUCACCUGUCAUAUGACGCGAACAACCGCUGUCAAGAUACCAUGAUAAAGGCAUUGGUUCAACUAACCGAGCCAUGUGAGAUACUAUUUUCCUGGAUGCAUCCAUACUCCUAUCCCAAAAAUGUGGUGGUGGAGUAGGCAUGGGUGUUGUUUGAGGACGAUUUCCAUAAGGAGAAGUUCUGGGUAGACCCCACGGAGCAUAGCCAUUCCACAUGUAUGGAGCCUGCAUGGAGAAGGUAGAAGACUUGUUCCAAUAUGAAUUACCUGCAAAAGAAGGAUGAUGAGCAGGAUACAAAUUAUUCCAACAAAAAGCAGAAGUGUGACCCAUGCGACCACAUGUUAGACAUUUAAAGCCUUUGUGUCUAGAAUUCUUUUUCCGAACAUGCUUUACAUGAGUAACCUUGGGUGGUGAUACCACACUAGACACCUGCACAGGAGCAGGAAGAGCGACACUUGUUGGUCGCACAAAGGUAGUGCGGGAAGUGCUAGCAGUAGCAAGAGGAACAGAAGUGUCAUAACCUAAACCAGAUUUAUCUGAAUGGGAUUUACCGAUUCCCAACAGAGAGUUUAGAUUAGCACUUGCUUUACCAAACCCAACCAAUUGUUUGUUAGCAGCAAACAACUCAGCCUUUACUCUCUCAUGCUCCAGUACAAGGGAUCUAUACCGUGUUUCCAGAUCAUUAUUCAGUUUUUCCAGAGUGACAAUACGCACUUGGAAAUCCUCUUUUUCCUUCACAAAUUCUUCCUUCAACAUGUUGGAAUCACCUGUAAGAUUGCAUAUAUCCUGUCCAAGACUCUCUACCUGAUCCUGCAAGACGGUGUUAGUUUUUUCAAGCAACUUUACUUGUUGCAUAGAAAACUUAUACAUGUCACAUAAUUCACUAGUAGUAGCAUGAACACCAGAAUCAGAAACAUUAAUAUCAGCAGAAGAGGAUACAAUACCUCCUGGAUGUCCAUCCAGGGAUGCACUGAAGACCACAUAAUUGGAGACAACAUUUGAGAGAUUCCCAUCAUCAUCUUCAUCUGAAUCAUCCCAUGUUACUGUGAGAUUCGCUUUGGAAUUAUCACCAGGUUUGCGAUCCACCUUCUUGUCACAUUCAUUUGCAAAGUGUCCAUAAUCACGACACUUGUAACAUUGGACAUCUUUACGAUCAACUCGAGCUCUUCUCCCAUCCACAGAGAACCGCUCAAAACCACGACUUCUAGGAGCAUUUGAGGAAUCAGGAAAUCGCUUUCGAGGAUCUCGAUUCUGUUGAUAUUUCAGAAUCUUCUGAAAGAUACGUGACAGAAACGCAUAGUUAUCAUCCACAUCCUGUUCUUCAUCAUCAGAAGGUCCUGUGGAAGGUUCUUUAGACGAUGUAGCUUUGAAUGCUACAGAUUUGUUCUUCAAAGGUUCUUCCAAAGCCUGUUCCAUCUCACAUGUCCUUAGUUUACCAGCAAGUGUCUCGAUGGACAUGUUCUUAAUUACAUUACUCUCAGUGAUGGCAUCCUUACGUGAACGAAACCGAGGAGGCAAAGCACGCAAUAUCUUACGUACCACUUGUGUGUCAGUAUAUGCAUGACCAAUAGCCGCACUGCAGUUGAUGAUGUCUUGGAGACGAAUAAAGAAAUCAUCAAAGGUCUCAGAAUUAUCCAUCCGUAGAUUCUCAAACUGAGAUGUUAACAGUUCCAGCUUACUUUCUUUGACUGUUUCGUCACCUUCAUGUGUACAGAUAAGCCUGUUCCAUGCAUCUUUAGCCUCUUCACAGCCUUGCACCCUACGAAACUCACUAGCAUUUAAUGCCACGAAAAUAGCAUUGAGUGCCUUGUUGUUAUAAUUUGCCAACAACUUCUGUUCAGGCGUCCACUUUUCACGUGGCGUCAGUGAUGUAACAGCAGUAUCAUCAGUACCUGUAGUAGUUAGAGGUUCUUUCCACCCUGUGACAACAGAAAGCCAGACUUCUUCUCCUAAUGCUUGGAGAUAAGCUCGCAUACGUACUUUCCAAUGACCAAAGUCCUUUCCACUGAAUUGUGGAGGAAGACUUGAAGUAGCAGACUUGUGAGAUUCCAUAAAGCACUAUUGAUCGUUAGCGUGAGCCUUUACGCUCCUUAACCAGCCCCCAACGACUGAUACCAAUUGAGAAACUACAAAUAGUGCUAUCAACUACCUGCACUCACUGCGAGUUGAUACUCCUGGUUAUCUCUAACACCUUGACUUCACCAGAGCACCUUGAUGUACGCACAAGACACUCGACUUCUUGAUGAACACACAAGAAGACUCGAAGCCGAAUUCACAAUAACUCUUGAAGAUCACAAAGAUAUGAAUUUAGAAAAGGGGGAAGAAAGGGAAUUGAGUUCAAUAGCCACAAACACUUUCAAUAUCAAAAACCUAACCAAAACACAUGAACUAGAAGAAGAAUGGAUGGCCAAAGAACUAACUUGUUCUAUGGAAGAGAAACCCUAUUUAUACUUAGGGUUGAAAACCAAGGAAAAUGGGCCGAAACAGUGCAAACCGACUUUGGACGUUCGUACGUCGAUAUGACGUUCGAACGUCGUCACACAAGAAUAAGCCUGCUGCCUAACAUGACGUACGAACGCUCUAACUCGGUACGUACGUCUCCAUACGAAAACACGUCUGCUGCCUACUUGGACGUACGAACGUCCUAACUGCGUACGUACGUCCUGACCAAAAGAUGUUUGCUGCUUCAGUGGACGUACGUACCUCCUAAUCCGGUACGUACGUCCAGAACCUAAUAACUUUUCCUGGACAGACCUAAGAGACACAAGGACACGAGACGACCAUGCGUACAUCUUGAUUUUCCUAACAAUGAAUUCAAGGCGAGAUAACCAAAGACACUUUGUCACAAAAUUGAUGUCAAACCACUUCAUGCCGGUUUCACGAACUAGGUAACAAGCAUACUUUUUAGGCAUGUCUGCUCUGUAAUCAUGCAUGUAUACUAAAAAUUACAAUCCAAUAACCAUUUUACAAACUUGUAGCAAUUUAAAAUAUCCAGGGGAUUAAAGACAAACACAAUGUAUAUUAUAAAUGUAACACAAGACAAACACAAUUUGUAGGCUUAAUAUAAAAGUUUUUAUGACAGUGGAGAUCGUACAUGAUUGAAUUACAAUAUAACAUGAAACACGAUAAUAGUCCAGUACUACAUGAUUGUAUUAGUAUAUGCAGAUAUUAAAGUGUAAGAUGAGAAAUGAUAAUAUAUGCAGAUAUUAAGUAAACAUACGAGACAAAUAUGCUUUGAUUGUAAAAAAUAAAAAUAGGUCAACUAAAGAAAAAUUACCUUCAGCAAAAACAACAAAACCAAGCUUAGACAAUAGAUACUUCUUCGCCAACGAACAACAAACUGUUAACAAUAACAAUAAAGAAAAAUAUAAAGACUAUCCUAACAUACAACUGGAAUAUUGAGAAGGAAGACGAAACAUUUACCCCGAUUGUUUAUCAACUUCUGUAAUAAGCGAUUUCCCCAGGUACCAAAGCAACCACAUGCACAAAAUCGAUAACAUAAACCAAAAGAAAAAACACAUUAUUGUUCAUCCAUCACACAUGCACAAUAAAAAUAUUGAAUCUAUUCUCAUUUUAAGAAAAAAAAAAAACACACAUUCAUUUUACAUGAUUGACUGUACAUUUGCAAUUCAUGUAUCAAUUACCCAAUUUAUACAUUUGAAAACAUGACAAUUCAUGUAAUACAUUUGCAAUUCAUGUUAUUGACAGUACAUAUGCAAUACAUUUGAGAACAUAACAAUUCAUGUAUCAACUACCCAAUUUAUACCACCAUCAUUGCACAAUAAAUACCCACUGUAUCAAUUAUUUCAGUAAAGUAAAAUCUCCAAUUUUAUACAUGAUUGACAGUACAUUAUUAGCAAAAUCCUAAUAUGCAAUUUAUUUCAUAAAGUAAAAUCCCCAAUAUUAUUAUUUCAGUAAAGUAAAAUCCCUAAUUUUAUACAUUAUUUCAGUAAAGUAAAAUCCCCAAUUUAUUUCAGAAUUUUUUUUUAUAAAUUUGCAAUACAGAUUCAUACCACCACAUGGAAUAUUAUUAGCAAAAUCCUAAUUUUAUAAACCAAUUUAUAUUUUUCGAGAAGUUAUUAGCAGAAUCCCUAAAUCCCCAAACCCUAAGAAAAUAAAUCAGCAGAAUCCCCAAAUCUAAAAAUAAACCCUAAAGAAUUGAGAAUCUAUCAAGAUUGAUUAGAAAAAUCCCCAAAUCUAAAAGUUUAAACCCUCAAAAAUAAAAAUUUAUGAGCAAAAUCCUCAAAUCUAAAAGUUUAAACCCUAAAACUUGAAAAUUUAUGAGCAAAAUCCCCAAAUCUAAAACCCUAGGUCAAGAAUCAAGCGAAAUCCCCAUAAAAUUAAAUAACCCUAACAAUAUUCGAACAGAUUUUAAACCCUAACAACUAUUUGUCUACAGACUAUCAUCAAUGAAGAUAAGAAGAAGAAAAAAAAAUAAAAAUCGUACAAGUGACAAGAAAGAUCGAAGAGAAAGGAAGAGAAGAAGAUAAGAAGGGAUAGAAGAGAAGAAGAAAUACCUUAAAAUGAUCUGCUACUACGGUUCUUUGUUGUGCGCCGUCAGUUCACCAUUUUCGUCGCUCUGCUAGGGUUCUUUGUUGCUAGGGUUAAGUUAUGAGAAAA